rnacentral:tRNA from 1 species
GCGGCAGUGGCGGAAUUGGCAGACGCGCUAGAUUCAGGUUCUAGUCCUGGUUUAGCAGGGUGGGGGUUCAAGUCCCUUCUGCCGCACCA